UACAGAGGUCUCAAGCGUUGUUCGGAUUCAUUGGGCGUAAAGGGUGCGUAGGCGGCGCGGUAAGUCGGGUGUGAAAUCUCGGGGCUUAACUCCGAAACUGCAUUCGAUACUGCCGUGCUUGAGGACUGGAGAGGAGACUGGAAUUUACGGUGUAGCGGUGAAAUGCGUAGAUAUCGAGAGGAACACCGGUGGCGAAGGCGGCGAUCUGGACGAUGACUGACGCUGAGACGCGAAAGCGUGGGGAGCAAACAGG
rnacentral:rRNA from 1 species